rnacentral:rRNA from 1 species
CCCGGUAAACGGCGGCCGUAACUAUAACGGUCCUAAGGUAGCGAAAUUCCUUGUCGGGUAAGUUCCGACCUGCACGAAUGGCGUAAUGAUGGCCAGGCUGUCUCCACCCGAGACUCAGUGAAAUUGAACUCGCUGUGAAGAUGCAGUGUACCCGCGGCAAGACGGAAAGACCCCGUGAACCUUUACUAUAGCUUGACACUGAACAUUGAGCCUUGAUGUGUAGGAUAGGUGGGAGGCUUAGAAGUGUGGACGCCAGUCUGCAUGGAGCCGACCUUGAAAUACCACCCUUUAAUGUUUGAUGUUCUAACGUUGACCCGUAAUCCGGGUUGCGGACAGUGUCUGGUGGGUAGUUUGACUGGGGCGGUCUCCUCCUAAAGAGUAACGGAGGAGCACGAAGGUUGGCUAAUCCUGGUCGGACAUCAGGAGGUUAGUGCAAUGGCAUAAGCCAGCUUGACUGCGAGCGUGACGGCGCGAGCAGGUGCGAAAGCAGGUCAUAGUGAUCCGGUGGUUCUGAAUGGAAGGGCCAUCGCUCAACGGAUAAAAGGUACUCCGGGGAUAACAGGCUGAUACCGCCCAAGAGUUCAUAUCGACGGCGGUGUUUGGCACCUCGAUGUCGGCUCAUCACAUCCUGGGGCUGAAGUAGGUCCCAAGGGUAUGGCUGUUCGCCAUUUAAAGUGGUACGCGAGCUGGGUUUAGAACGUCGUGAGACAGUUCGGUCCCUAUCUGCCGUGGGCGCUGGAGAACUGAGGGGGGCUGCUCCUAGUACGAGAGGACCGGAGUGGACGCAUCACUGGUGUUCGGGUUGUCAUGCCAAUGGCACUGCCCGGUAGCUAAAUGCGGAAGAGAUAAGUGCUGAAAGCAUCUAAGCACGAAACUUGCC